GAUUGAACGCUGGCGGCAUGCUUUACACAUGCAAGUCGAACGGCAGCGCGGGCUUCGGCCUGGCGGCGAGUGGCGAACGGGUGAGUAAUACAUCGGAACGUGCCCAGUAGUGGGGGAUAGCUCGGCGAAAGCCGGAUUAAUACCGCAUACGACCUGAGGGUGAAAGCGGGGGAUCUUCGGACCUCGCGCUAUUGGAGCGGCCGAUGGCAGAUUAGCUAGUUGGUGGGGUAAAGGCCUACCAGGGCGACGAUCUGUAGCUGGUCUGAGAGGACGACCAGCCACACUGGGACUGAGACACGGCCCAGACUCCUACGGGAGGCAGCAGUGGGGAAUUUUGGACAAUGGGCGAAAGCCUGAUCCAGCAAUGCCGCGUGUGUGAUGAAGGCCUUCGGGUUGUAAAGCACUUUUGGCGGGAACGAAAAGGACUGUGCCAAUACCACGGUUCGAUGACGGUACCCGCAGAAUAAGCACCGGCUAACUACGUG
rnacentral:rRNA from 1 species